UGUCACACCAUCUUUGAGCUACUGUUGCAUCGUUCAUCUUUGUGGUCAGGUUUUCAUCAGCAGUCAUUUGAAGACUUCAGCUGGAAGGAAUUAGUGUUGGGUCUGUGUUGAACUCAUGGUUUCUCGGAAAGCCCUGUGUUAUUAUAAUAGGUUUAAGUGGAUCACUGCUCCUUAUAAAGGCUCAUCGCUUUGUCUCUGAGUCACUUUGGUGUAGCUACUAGUCUUGUGUCGUCGUAAAAGCCAGUCAUAGAAUUAGACUACAGAGUUGGAGAGUGACAUGUGCAGCCCAAUGCCUCAGCCUAUUUGUUUGGUGGAAAAUGUAAAUGGUUCACUGUGUGUGAGUGACCGAGCCAUUGAGUACCUGCUCAAGAAUAAUCAGCCAGUGGUAGUAGUAGCUGUGGUGGGGCUCUAUCGCACAGGGAAGUCUUACCUCAUGAAUCGCCUGGCAGGAAAACAAACUGGCUUUGCUCUGGGUAGCACCAUUGAGUCGAAGACUAAAGGUAUUUGGAUGUGGUGUGUACCACAUCCCAACAAAACUGGACAUACUCUGGUGCUUCUUGAUACUGAAGGACUGGGGGAUGUUGACAAGGGAGACUCUACAAAUGAUGCCUGGAUCUUCUGCCUGGCUGUUCUUCUCAGUAGCACUCUGGUCUACAACAGCCGUGGAACUAUCGACAACACAGCAGUAGAAAAACUACACUAUGUCACUGAGAUUGCAGAGCAGAUUAAGAUCAAAUCACCUGAAUCCACAGCAACUGAGGCUGAGGAGGAGGAGGAGGAGGAGGAAGAAGAGGAGGAACAAUCUCAGUUUGUGAAAUUUUUUCCUAAGUUUAUUUGGACAGUGCGUGAUUUUUCACUGGAGCUGGCGAUUGAAAAAAAAGGUUCUGUCACCCCGGAUGAGUACCUGAAUUUUGCCCUGCAGCUAAAAAAAGGUUUUAGUAAGAAGGACACUAACUACAACCUUCCAAGGCAGUGUAUUCGAAACUAUUUUCCAACUCGUAAGUGCUUUGUAUUCCCGUUUCCUGCCUCCCAGGACAAAAUGGUUCAGCUAGAGAACCUGGAUGAAAGAGAAAUAUUUCCGAAAUUUCUGCAUGUUACACAGGAAUUCUGUGACUAUGUCUUUGCAACAAGCAAAGUUAAAACAGUUAAAGGAGUAUACAAAAUCACAGGCAGAAGGUUCGGUCACCUAGUGCAGACCUAUGUGGAGACGAUCUCUAGUGGGAAAGUCCCUUGUCUGGAGAAUGCUGUGGUUGCCAUGGCAAGGAUUGAAAAUGAGGCAGCCGUGCAAGAGGGGCUGAAGCUGUACCAGAGUGAGAUGGAACAGGUAAAGAAGAGAUUUCCUGUCAGUUUGAGUGAAAUUUCUGCUGAACAUAAGAGAAUCAGCUAUAUGGCCACCACUGAGUUUUUGAAGCAUUCCUUUAAAGAUGAAGAAAGGGAAUACUUUAAGAAACACAUGGAGGCAGUAGAGAAGCACUAUGCUGAACUAAGUGUUCAGAACUUAGAAGCAUCAGAACAGAAGUGCCAGCAGAUUCUGCAUGAUCUAUACAGCGAGAUGAGAGAGCAUUUGCAGAAUGGAGUCUUUGCAAAGCCUGGAGGAUAUAAACUCUACUGCACAUACAGAGACAACAUUAUCAUACAGUACCACAGCCAGCCAAACAAGGGAAUCCAGGCUGAGGAUGUGUUGCAGAAGUUUCUAAAUGAGAAAAAUUUCGAGGCAAAUUUAAUUCUUCAGACUGAUGAACAACUGACCGAAGCUCAGAAAAAGAUUCAAGAGGAAAAAGAACAAGCAGCUCUGUUACAGCAGCAGUGUAAAGUAGAACAAGAGCAAAAGAUGGAGACAGAGCGACUGAUGCAGGAGUUAAAAGAGAGCCAUCAACAACGACUACAGCAGCUGGAGAAGAAGUUUGAGGAGGAGAAGCAGGAGCAACAGCAGGAGCUAGACCAAGCACUAGAAAGCAAACUGACCGAACAUAAAGAACUCAUUCAGAAAGGAUUUGAUGAGAGAGCCCAGAUAAUGACCCUGGAGAUUGAGCACCUUAAAGAAGAAAAAGAUAAACUGUCUCAGAGUUUUUAUAAGGAUUAUUUUAUGCCUGGUAUGGAUGUUGCUAAAGAAGUGGUGUUCAUGUAUCUCCAGUAUAGAGCAAUGAAGCAAGGAUUACCCAUGAUAUAAGAAAAUCAGGACUGUCAUUAGACUGUUAUCAGUUAGAACACUAACUAAAAUUAGGCAACAAUUACCUAUUGUAAUAAAUUGGGAAAUAAUGUUAUACAGUAUGUACUGAUAUAUAUUCAGGGACACGGUGGCUUAGUGGUUAGCACGUUCGCCUCACACCUCGAGGGUUGGGGGUUCGAUUCCCGCUUCCGCCUUGUGUGUGUGUGGAGUUUGCAUGUUCUCCCUCGGGGGUUUCUUGCAUGUUCUCACCUCGGGGGUUUCCUCCCCGGUCCAAAGACAUGCAUGGUAGGUUAAUUGGCAUCUCUGGAAAAUUGUCCGUAGUGUGUGAUUGCGUGAGUGAAUGAGAGUGUGUAUGUGUGUGUGUGCGCCCUGUGAUGGGUUGGCACUUCGUCCAGGGUGUAUCCUGCCUUGAUGCCCGAUGACGCCUGAGAUAGGCACAGGCGCCCCGUGACCCGAGGUAGUUCGGAUAAGCAGUAGAAAAUGAAUGAAAUAAUGAAUGAAUGAAGCAAAACCACAACUGACAGCUUGUCUCUGCUUUCAGGCCACUGUAACUUACCUGUGUGUGCAAGGCUAAUGAGAUGUUUUUGAUUCUACAAAAAUUUGCACUUCAUUGUGGAAGAGAGCAUGCUGCAUGUUAUGCAUGAUGCAAUAUUAUUUCUUCAGGAAGCCCAAGUGUAGCUCUCAAUUAAAAAAAAAAUUAUUGCACUCAAAAAGACUGGGCAAGAACAUAAUGAAUAUAUACUUUGUCUUUCCUGAACACACUCUAGUACCCAGGAGUCUCUUCUGCACAGACCCUGGCUUCAAUUCUUCUCUUGUUCUCAUAUGGUUACAUUUUUUGAUGAACUUUGUGUACAAUACUUAUAAGUGGAAUUAUGUUUCCCCACAAUACUUAAGGUCAUUUUUUUAAAAGUCAGUUAUCUCCCUCACACAUCAUUUUCACACCUCCUUCUGCUGAAAACUUUGCUAAACCACAAUUGCCAACUUGUCUCUGCUCAUAGGCCUUUAACAUCGUCACUGCCCUCUGUGUAUCAAAGGCUAAUUAUAUGUGUUUUUUUCCUGCAUAGUUGUUUUUAACACUCAUAAGUAAAUUAUAUAACCAUAAUAGUAACAAAAAUGAAAAUGUAGGUUGUAAGGCAUUUUAUCAGUAUGUCUAGUUAAUGUUAACAUGGUUUUGUUAAAACUUUUCUGUGUACCGGAAACACCAGCAGAAGCUCAACACAGCAGCUAAAGACAUUUCAGUCACAACAAUAACUUCCACUUAUCAAAGUACAAAUGCAACUAUUUUCUUUUAGCAGAUCAAAUGAUCAUGAGAAUUUGUCACAGAGCAGCAGAUGAAAGCAGGACAAAUAAGAUAAGGUACAGAUUCCAACAUUACUGAGUCAUUUACACUCAUUAGAUGAUUUAAACCCUGUGUUUUAACCUUGCUCUACUUGUACUCUUACCUGUUGAACUAUCAUAGUUACUGAGAGUAUUUACACAUCAAACUAAACCCUUCUCAUAACAGAUAUGGAGACAGUGAUCCACCUGAACAGUCAUGAUGAAGUACACACAAUGUCCGAAUCACACAAUAAGAUCAUCACUCAGGACAUUCAGACUGCAGAUGAACAACUUUAUACCCCACCACUCACUCUAUUGAAGACACAAAGAGAACAUUUACUCACAGAGCAUCACAGGAAGUGAACUGAGCUCCAUCCUGUCUCUCUGAUGACUGACUGGCAGAGUGAGCAGAGAGGAACCAUUGAGAGUGUGUUGAUGAACUGCAUCACUGUAUGGCCCGGGAACUGCAGUGCAGCUGACCGCAAGAACCUUCAGAGGAUAGUGAAUGUAGCCGCAAAUAUCAUCGGCGCCCCUCUCCCCUCGAUUGAGGACAUCUUCAUGAAGCAAUGCCUCAGCAGGGCCAACAGCAGGGCGGGGGACCCCACCCAUCCCUCCUAAAACAUCUUUCAGCUCCUACCAUCAGGAAGAAGGUACAGGAGCAUCAGAGCCCGCUCUGCUAUUCUGCGGAACAGUUUCUUCCCCCAAGCUGUGAGAGCCCUGAACUCCAGAACCUCCACUGCCACCCCUGAAAAUACACAGGCCUCCUGUGACGUGAACCCCCUACUGCCACCAGUCACACUCACCUCAGCAUUAGCACACUGGCACAUCAAAUUUAAAUGUUUACAUGCUCAUGGCUACCGGCUGCUGACUUUGAAUGCCUCCUGUUGCACGUGUACAAUAUCAAGGAAGCAUUGUAGACUCUUCAUACUUAUAUUUAUUGCUUGAGUGUAUUUUUUUGUGUAUUUAAUUGUAUUUACUUUGUUUUGUGCUUUGUGUUGUUUUUUGAUGUUUAAUGUCUGUAUGGACGUGGCACCGUUUGACCUAUGAGACACGACAUCUCGUUCCACUGCAUGUCUCAACAUGUAGCGAAAUGAAAAAUAAAGAAACUUGAACUUGAACUUGAUAUGAACUCAGGCAUGUAAAAACAAUGGUUGAGGCAACAUUGGAAUCAUUGAUGAGGACUGUUAGGAGCCCAAACAUAUUAAGUGCUUGGACAAGUUGAUGACCAGAAAUCUUAUACACUCAUGAUGGAGCAUGUGUUGUUAAGUCAAGAAAAUGAUAUACAGGUAAACCUAAGAAAAAGGUAUGCUAUUGGCAGGAAGCUUUUACUAUUGUUUUAGUUUAGACAGAUUAAUUUAGACAGACAAAGUAUUGGUUUGCCAAGAUUAUAUUAGCUUACUAUAGACUAUGAAUU